rnacentral:lncRNA from 1 species
GGCAUGAGCUGUGGGUUCUAAGAUUUCAACUCUAGGUUUUGUGAGAAAAAAAUACAAGAGUAAGUUUUAUCCAAUCUUUAACACCACCAUCUCUUCGUAAAGCUUCAUCUUAUUAUUUAGAGGAGUCCAGAAGAUCCAAAGAAAAGAGCUUGGAUUAGCCAUCCAGAGCCUUUGAUGCAAGCUAGCACUCCCAUGAAGGAAGAUCCGAUUAGGGCUUCAAGUGGAUGAUCUGUAGAG